rnacentral:rRNA from 1 species
GACGUAGGGCGCGAGCGUUGUCCGGAUUUAUUGGGCGUAAAGAGCUCGUAGGCGGCUUGUCGCGUCGACUGUGAAAACUCACAGCUCAACUGUGGGCGUGCGGGCGAUACGGGCAGACUAGAGUACUGCAGGGGAGACUGGAAUUCCUGGUGUAGCGGUGGAAUGCGCAGAUAUCAGGAGGAACACCGGUGGCGAAGGCGGGUCUCUGGGCCGAUACUGACGCUGAGGAGCGAAAGCGUGGGGAGCGAACAGG